UACGGAGGGUGCAAGCGUUAUCCGGAUUCACUGGGUUUAAAGGGUGCGUAGGCGGGCAGGUAAGUCCGUGGUGAAAUCUCUGAGCUUAACUCAGAAACUGCCAUGGAUACUAUUUGUCUUGAAUGUUGUGGAGGUAAGCGGAAUGUGUCAUGUAGCGGUGAAAUGCUUAGAUAUGACACAGAACACCGAUUGCGAAGGCAGCUCACUAAGCCAUAACUGACGCUGAUGCACGAAAGCGUGGGGAGCAAACAGG
rnacentral:rRNA from 1 species